AUGGAACGCUGGCGGCAGGCUUAACACAUGCAAGUCGAGCGGAGAUGAGGUGCUUGCACCUUAUCUUAGCGGCGGACGGGUGAGUAAUGCUUAGGAAUCUGCCUAUUAGUGGGGGACAACAUUCCGAAAGGAAUGCUAAUACCGCAUACGUCCUACGGGAGAAAGCAGGGGAUCUUCGGACCUUGCGCUAAUAGAUGAGCCUAAGUCGGAUUAGCUAGUUGGUGGGGUAAAGGCCUACCAAGGCGACGAUCUGUAGCGGGUCUGAGAGGAUGAUCCUCCACACUGGGACGGGGACACGGCCCAGACUCCUACGGGAGGCAGCAGUGGGGAAUAUUGGACAAUGGGGGGAACCCGGAUCCAGCCAUGCCGCGUGUGUGAAGAAGGCCUUAUGGUUGUAAAGCACUUUAAGCGAGGAGGAGGCUACUGAGACUAAUACUCUUGGAUAGUGGACGUUACUCGCAGAAUAAGCACCGGCUAACUCUGUGCCAGCCGCCGCAGUAAUAC
rnacentral:rRNA from 1 species